GACGAACGCUGGCGGCGUGCUUAACACAUGCAAGUCGAACGUGAUUUUUGUGGAAAUUCUUUCGGGAAUGGAAAUGAAAUGAAAGUGGCGAACGGGUGAGUAACACGUGAGCAACCUACCUUACACAGGGGGAUAGCCGUUGGAAACGACGAUUAAUACCGCAUGAGACCACAGAAUCGCAUGAUAUAGGGGUCAAAGAUUUAUCGGUGUAAGAAGGGCUCGCGUCUGAUUAGCUAGUUGGAAGGGUAAAGGCCUACCAAGGCGACGAUCAGUAGCCGGUCUGAGAGGAUGAACGGCCACAUUGGAACUGAGACACGGUCCAAACUCCUACGGGAGGCAGCAGUGGGGAAUAUUGCACAAUGGGGGGAACCCUGAUGCAGCGACGCCGCGUGAGCGAAGAAGGUUUUCGAAUCGUAAAGCUCUGUCCUAUGAGAAGAUAAUGACGGUAUCAUAGGAGGAAGCCCCGGCUAAAUACGUGCCAGCAGCCGCGGUAAUACGUAUGGGGCGAGCGUUGUCCGGAAUUAUUGGGCGUAAAGGGUACGUAGGCGGUUUUUUAAGUCAGGUGUGAAAGCGUGAGGCUUAACCUCAUUAAUCACUUGAAACUGGAAGACUUGAGUGAAGGAGAGGAAAGUGGAAUUGCUAGUGUAGCGGUGAAAUGCGUAGAUAUUAGGAGGAAUACCGGUGGCGAAGGCGACUUUCUGGACUUUUACUGACGCUGAGGUACGAGAGCGUUGGGGAGCAAACAGG
rnacentral:rRNA from 1 species